CAGCAGUUUCGAAUCAUUCACAAUGGGCGAAAGCCUGAUGGUGCGACGCCGCGUGGGGGAUGAAGGUCUUUGGAUUGUAAACCCCUGUCACCGGGGAAGAAACGUUUCAAGUUAACAGCUUGAAACCUGACAUAACCCGGAGAGGAAGCAGUGGCUAACUCUGUGCCAGCAGCCGCGGUAAUACAGAGACUGCAAGCGUUAUUCGGAUUCACUGGGCGUAAAGGGUGCGCAGGCGGCCGUGUGUGUUAGGCGUGAAAGCCCGAGGCUCAACCUCGGAAUUGCACCUAAAACUACACGGCUAGAGUACUGGAGAGGGUAGCGGAAUUCACGGUGUAGCAGUGAAAUGCGUAGAUAUCGUGAGGAACACCAAUGGCGAAGGCAGCUACCUGGACAGUAACUGACGCUCAGGCCGACGAAAGCGUGGGGGAGCGAAAAGGAUUAGAUACCCCUGUACGUCCACGCCCUAAACGGUGC
rnacentral:rRNA from 1 species